GUCCACAAAUCACAAAAAAUCGUGGACCAAAUGGGGACCUCUCUCGAAUUCACUAUCUAGAACAAGAAAGAAGAGGAUACAAGGUGUUAAUACACCAAAACAGCCAUUCAACAACAAGUUUAGCAACACAAGAUGAAGCUCCACAAUAUUACAAUAGCAACAAGAACAAACGAGUUACAUUAACAACACAAGAAGCCGAAACUAAAACAAGAUACAAGAUAGAUAGUUAGACAAGUGUUGAUGUAGUCUUAACAACCCAAGAGCAUAUUUCACUCUUGGACCUUUAACACUUCACACAACAAACACCUAACUCUUAUAAUUGACACAAGAGAGGCGUCCACCACCUAAGCACCAACGUAUCAAGAAAAAUGCAAUACACAAGAAAAUCUACCCUUAUGUCAUGCCCUAGUUUCAGUUGUGGACUCUCUCUCUCUAAAAGGAGUGUUCUUUCUUCAACAUUCAUAAAAACUACCAACUAAAACCUUACAACGUUCAAUUUAUAUUACAUUACAAAAUAAAAGACAAAAGACUAAAAGACCCUUUAAUGAAAAAGACUCCAAAAAUAGCCCAUGGAGUGUGCUUGGGACAGUUUUGGGCCUCCUUCACACUUAGACUUGUGCACUCUUUAGGUGGUCUUCAAAAUACUUAAAAAGUAUCUAUGAUCACAAAUUCAUGGCUUCACCUCAUGCAAUUGGCCCUCCAAAAGAAACCACCCAAAACAGUCUGCAAAACAUCAAAAAAGUGCACAAAAUAAUCCACCAAAAAAAACAAAGGGAAUUCGAGGAUACAAUGAGAACAAUUCUCGGCUAACAUCUUCAUUUUGAACCUCGGCUUCCUCUCAAUCUUGAGCCUUGUCUUCAAUCUCAUCCGAAACAAGUCUCCUACCAUCAUACAAGCAUUGUCGUAGACCCUAUAUCCUUCAUGUUCCUUUCUACCAUUCUUCUCUAUAUGGACAUUUCGGGUUUGGUGUAGUAGAGCUUCGGUUAAGAGGCUUUCUUUGGUUAAUUGGGGUUUCGUUUGUGGAGUUUGGAUGGGAGGAAAUUGGUUUCCAAGUCCUCCUUGUUGGACUUGAUCAACUUGCGGAGGAAGUGGUCUAUCUUGUUCUCGGUUUUGAGGGCUAUUUGGAGCUUGGAUUGUGGCAUUAUGUGGUGGUCUUGGAGAAUUGGUCAUUGGAAGUAAAGUUUCGGGAGUAAAAGCACGAGAGUUCCUUCGACUCUCCAUUCGAUCCAACCUCUCACUCAUAGUUACCACAUCCGAGUCAAUUUUUUUAAGACCCACAUUUGCCCUAGCAAGGUCUCGGGACAAAGCAUCAAGAAGGGCCAAAAUGGUUUCCGUUAUGGCCAAAAGUUACCUACAAAACAACAAACAAGUUAGUUGUACAAGAAUGGUCCUUACACUCCCUCUCUAUUAUUUUGUCUCUCGGAUUUUUCACACUUUGAUGUCACAAGUGUCAUAACCUUAAUUGUACUCCAUGAGGCAUUGAGAGGUUGACCAAGUAUUACAAUGAGUCAAAAGAAUAAGACAUACAAAGGAACGUAUACACGAAGAACGGUUUCAAAACUAACUUACAUUCUAGUACUAGCUUGUAAGUUAGUAAUGGAAUCAACAAACGAAACUAAAGAAACAAUAAAAUGAAACUAAGAAAUCUAAAAUUUGAGAUUAAAAAUUAUCGGUGAACAGUAAAAAAUGUGAUGAUGUGGCAAUCCUCAAUUGGUCACGAUUUUGUCAAGUUUUACUGUCCAAGGUUCAAGUCUUGACCAAUUUUGGAUCUGGAUUGGUGGAAUUAUUUAAGGAGGGAAAGAAUAAAUCUUGGAACUCUUUUUCAACUCAAGUUUCAAGACUUGGACUUUUGAGGUAUUUUUCCUUAAAAGAAGGCCCUCAAAACAUGGAAGUUGAUUGGAAAAGGGUUGUAAAGUCUUUGAGUGGUUGGAAGUGGUGGUAAAAGUCUUUGAUGACUAACAAAUACUACACCUCCUUCCUUCACCCUGUUAGAUCUAACAUCCACUUUUUUUUCAAUAAAAGAUGAAGAUUGGUGAAAAACACCAAGAACACAAACUUUUGAAUCUUGGAGUCUAAGGUUCAAGUUGGUCUCACACUUCAAUCAACACUUUGUCAAGUUCCACCUUUCAACAACAACUUCAACAAGAAGUUCUUAAGCCACCAAUUCACAAUAAUAACACAAGGUCAAGCUCAAGAACUCAACAACAACAACACCAACCUUCAACAAUAAGGAUCAACACAUGGACACUUCAAGUUCACAACAACGAUGCCAAUAUUAUAAGCUCAACCUUUAGAUCUAGACACUUUUAGUGUUAGUGAGAUAGAACCAACACUAGAAACACACUAGACAAACAAAAGAACUGCAAGAUCUAGUCAGGAAAAACAAGAAAAUCAUGGCCAAGACAACAACACAACACAAUUUUUGGCCAAGAACACAAAAAUGGACAGAUUGCUAUUUUUUGAAAUUUUUUAGUUUUUAUCAACUUUUUUUUUUACUAAUCAAACCCAAGAUUGGCUUUGUGGAAACAAAAACCAGCCUUGCUCUGAUACCAAAUAAUACGAAACAAAUAAGAAAACACGAAAUCACACCCCAAAACAGUCCAUAAAUCACAAAAAAUCGUGGACCAAAUGGAAACCUCUCUCGAAUUCACUAUCUAGAACAAGAAAGAAGAGGAUACAAGGUGUUAAUACACCAAAACAGCCAGCCAACAACAAGUUUAGCAACACAAGAUGAAGCUCCACAAUAUUACAAUAGCAACAAGAACAAACGGGUUAUAUUAAUAACACAAGAAGCCGAAACUAAAACAAGAU
rnacentral:lncRNA from 1 species